AUGUGGAAGAUGUUUAAUGUUUAAGUUGUUGAUGCUUCACAUUAAUAUUGUUAUGUUAUGAAUUGAAAUUGAUAUAUUGAUAUCUCUCUGUUGUUGUGUGACUUGACUGUGCUACUGCUGUUAUUUAACUAAGUACAUGAAGUCUAUAAAUAUGAUGAAAUGAUGACGUUUAGCUCCAAAUUAUUGGAUGCAUGUUGAAUACGAUGAUUACGGUGUUUUGUUGAUAAGAGUCCAUGCAUAGCAUAUCAUUGAGCUUAGUCCUCACCACGAUUUUUUAGGAGCUUUGUCCUCCGCAC
rnacentral:lncRNA from 1 species